rnacentral:rRNA from 1 species
CCUACGGGUGGCAGCAGUGAGGAAUAUUGGUCAAUGGCCGGAAGGCUGAACCAGCCAAGCCGCGUGAAGGACGAAGGUGCCAAGCAUUGUAAACUUCUUUUGUCAAGGGACAAAAUCAGGCUCGAGAGCCUGACCGAGGGUACUUGAAGAAAAAGCAUCGGCUAACUCCGUGCCAGCAGCCGCGGUAAUACGGAGGAUGCGAGCGUUAUCCGGAUUUAUUGGGUUUAAAGGGUGCGUAGGGGGACUGUUAAGUCAGCGGGAAAAGCCCGGGGCUCAACCCUGGCGAGCCGUUGAAACUGGCUGUCUUGAGAUGUCGAGAGGUAUGCGGAAUGCGCAGUGUAGCGGUGAAAUGCUUAGAUAUUGCGCAGAACUCCGAUUGCGAAGGCAGCAUACCGGCGGCGAUCUGACACUGAGGCACGAAAGCGUGGGUAUCGAACAGGAUUAGAUACCCGGGUAGUC